rnacentral:piRNA from 1 species
UCUACAAGCUUUUCAUGUUGAAUUGUAUG